UGGGGAAUCUUGCACAAUGGGGGCAACCCUGAUGCAGCGACGCCGCGUGAGCGAUGAAGCCCUUCGGGGCGUAAAGCUCUUUCGACCGGAACGAUAAUGACGGUACCGGGAGAAGAAGCUGCGGCUAACUACGUGCCAGCAGCCGCGGUAAUACGUAGGCAGCAAGCGUUGUUCGGAGUUACUGGGCGUAAAGAGUGCGUAGGCGGUUUUCUAAGUUCGGUGUGAAAUCUCCCGGCUUAACUGGGAGGGUGCGCCGAAGACUGGGAAGCUGGAGUGUGGGAAAGGCAGGCGGAAUUCCUGGUGUAGCGGUGAAAUGCGUAGAUAUCGGGAGGAACACCUGUGGCGAAAGCGGCAUUCUGGCCCUCACCUGACGCUGAGGUGCGAAAGCGUGGGUAGCAAACA
rnacentral:rRNA from 1 species